CUGGCGGCAUGCCUUACACAUGCAAGUCGAACGGCAGCACGGGAGCAAUCCUGGUGGCGAGUGGCGAACGGGUGAGUAAUACAUCGGAACGUGCCCUGUAGUGGGGGAUAACUAGUCGAAAGACUAGCUAAUACCGCAUACGACCUGAGGGUGAAAGUGGGGGACCGCAAGGCCUCAUGCUAUAGGAGCGGCCGAUGUCUGAUUAGCUAGUUGGUGGGGUAAAGGCCUACCAAGGCGACGAUCAGUAGCUGGUCUGAGAGGACGAUCAGCCACACUGGGACUGAGACACGGCCCAGACUCCUACGGGAGGCAGCAGUGGGGAAUUUUGGACAAUGGGGGCAACCCUGAUCCAGCAAUGCCGCGUGUGUGAAGAAGGCCUUCGGGUUGUAAAGCACUUUUGUCCGGGAAGAAAUCGCACCUGAUAAUACCGGGUGUGGAUGACGGUACCGGAAGAAUAAGGACCGGCUAACUACGUGCCAGCAGCCGCGGUAAUACGUAGGGUCCAAGCGUUAAUCGGAAUUACUGGGCGUAAAGCGUGCGCAGGCGGUUGUGCAAGACCGAUGUGAAAUCCCCGGGCUUAACCUGGGAAUUGCAUUGGU
rnacentral:rRNA from 1 species